GAGUCAGGUUUGUUUGUUUGUUUUUAUUCUUACUCACAGCGCAUUCUACAGACCUCUACCGCCAUCAAAGAUGCCAAUUGUAGUUUCUGCCUUUCGCUUUUUGACUAUUGGCCGAUGCUGUGUGACCUCUGGCAUGACCAUCUCUACUGUAGUGAUGCUAAUGGUGGCCUCUAGAUGUGCUUCUUGUAUAGCUGCUGGCACUGGGGACAGUCAUACAAGGGAGACUAAUGAAAAUGUUGAAUGGCACACUUCUUGCACAUUAAAUGGUUGCAUUGGAGUUCAACUGGGAUGUUGACAACUUUUCACACAGGGUGCACUUGAACGAGUCAAACAGGGAUUCUGGUGCUACUGUUUCUAUUUGUUGGAUUAGGUCAGUCAAUUUGAUUGCUGACUGAUCUGUGAGAACAAGCUGAUUCUUUUUCAAUUUUUGGGUGGUCUUCCUUAUUUCUUCUGUUGCUGACAACUGCAGCAGGUGUUGCAGUUUUCUGAGUGUACCGUCCACUCUCUGCAGAAAGGUACAAGAAUAGAGGCUCCUUGCCUCUUUGUAAAUCAAUGCAUCACUAGAUGGCAGCGGACACAGAAAUUGACAUUUGUACUGACGUCCUCUCAAUUGAACCUGGGGGCACAUAACCUGCGAAGCUCUCGUACAGAAAGGAUGUGAUGUGCCAUAUCCAUAGACUAGACUGACAACACUUGUAUACUGGUUAACUGUUUCUGUAUACAUCUUAUGUAGUGUAUGGAGUAAGGAAAGGGCAUGAGAGUGUUGAGGUAAAGAACUGCUACACGUGUACCAUUCAAAUUCAAGGAACCAGUGUUGGUACACCAUUAGCAAGUUUUUGUGGCAAAGUUUAUUUUACCAUAGAUAUGAUUUUACUUACAUCUCAAGUUGCUAAGAAUAAUAUCUCUAGGCACGUGACCUAGGCCAGCUUGUCA